ensembl:lncRNA
GUUUGCCAAGGCCUGGUGGAGCCUCUGAAAGGUGCUGUGUGCAGCAGCCAGCUCACCUCAAGAGUCAGGGACAGCCACAGGGCGCAGGAGACCACAGAGCGUGGGACAGAGCCGCAGACAGACAUCUGCCAACAACCAGAUGAACGGAGGAAGCAGGUCAAAGGCUCACUCACGCCUUCACAGGCCAGGAGGUUAGUGUCCCUCAGGGAGCUCAGGACUGGCUCUGCCAGGAGGCUGUCAGUCACCUCCAGCCUCAGCUCCAGGCCUUGCCCCACUCAGCUUCAGGAGAAGGACCCUGACUGCACAAGCAGAAGGCACAGACUUGCUGAGGUGGAUCUCCUCACACUGCAUCCCCAUGGGACCAACCAGCCUAUCAGCUGCUGCUCAGUGCCAGGCAACAAACAGCAAGGUCCCUGCCAAAGGGGAUUUCAUGGUUUCACCCGGAAGAUGAACAUGUAAUCUGGAGAUAAGUGUUACUGUAGAACAGUGCCCAGGUCUCCCACAGAAUUACCCAGAAGUUGAAGAAAAACUUCCUGGAGACAACUGCAGCUGAAUCCAUACCUGAAAGAUGAGUAAUGACAUUCCUGGUAAUGACAGGCCUGCUGUGUAUAGUGGGCAGGAGACUGGAACCUACCUGCAGGGGUCUCCAGUAAGGUGAAAAGGAGUCAAAGAACUCAGAUAGGAUAAUCCCAAGUUACCUGAAGCAUCCUUCUAGACAACUUAAGCUGGGAGGUUUUCUCCUCUCUUUCUCUAUGUGUCCAUCCUCCUCUCAUUUUCAAAUGCCUUGAUGCUUAACAAGUGAUAAAUAAUAAAACUUCUCAUGAAUCCAUGUGGUGUCAUUACUCUGGGCCCUUUUCUUUGGCUGGCUUUUCUUUAUGUUCCUGAAUCUGCUUUGGAAUCUCCCAUAACAUCUCCCUCUAGCCCAGGGAAUAUUGACGAUGUCUUUCCAUCUCUAUUCCCACCCCUCAGGUGGCCAGCUUCUGGUUUUCAUUUAUUUUUCAAAUUCAUUCCAGUGAGAAAUGAAUAUGCUUAUAGUCAUGUCAACUAGGUGAACAGAGUGAAGACACCAUGAGAAGUCAAUAGCACUUUACUAAAGCACUCCUCUUACGUAAGCGUCACAACAGUCACGUUAACUGUGUACUUGAACCAAAAAGUGGUUCAUUCACAAGCAGAGCUUAAUCAGUCAGUGCCCCCACACACGGCCUAAAUCCCCUCAGUGAGUAGGAUUGUUCCUCG